AAAGUAAGGCUAUGAAUUUGAUGGAAUGAGAAACUUUUUCAAUGGAGCCUAUUGGAUGUCUGAGGACAGACAUGAGGUCAGAAUGGCCGACUGUUAGCGAUUUUACCUUUGCCUAGAGUUGAAUUAAAAAAAGAAAACACUGUUGGAGGGAGAUGGAAAAAUGGCGGCAAGAAAAGCGGUUGAUAUUGAUUCGAAGCAGAAAAGAUUGGAAUUUAUUAAUAUGUUUUCAAGAAGUUAGUAGUUUAGAAUUAAAGUUAAAGUUUAUCAUGCAUUGUAUAGCGAUGAAAUAAAGUCAGUUGUUAUGAGUUGAGGAUAUUUUUAUCAUAUGUAAAUGGCAUUCUA